rnacentral:lncRNA from 1 species
ACCUUUUUACAUCAUCAUAUAAAGUUUCUCUUGCUCUGUUGCCAAAAAAAAAAAAAAAAAAGUUUCUCUUGCUCAUUAUGUACAGAUUGACUGAUCCAAUGGAUGACCCAUCAGCCUUGACCUCUGAACUUCUAGAUCACUUCUCCAAAGUCUUAUAUCUUUUUGUUAACCAGAACAUCCUGAAACAUGUAGCGACACAUCUCUAUUUUCAGCCAAAUGCACACUGUUAAAAAGUUCUUUUUGAGAACUGGCAUAACUGUUAGAAAAAUCUCAAGCUCUAGAAAAGGCUUCAAUGGGUAGUAAGCCAAUAGUCUCAUCGCCAUCCACUAUUAAACAUCACACUAAACAUGAUCUAGAUCAGAAUACAACGUCUCCUUAGACACAGCACU